GACGAACGCUGGCGGCGUGCUUAACACAUGCAAGUCGAACGAGUGGCGAACGGGUGAGUAACACGUGGGAACCUACCCAUCAGAGGGGGAUAACACUUGGAAACAGGUGCUAAUACCGCAUACUGAUGGAUGAACCCGCGGUGCAUUAGCUAGUAGGUGGGGUAAAGGCUCACCUAGGCGACGAUCUCUAGCUGGUCUGAGAGGAUGAUCAGCCACACUGGGACUGAGACACGGCCCAGACUCCUACGGGAGGCAGCAGUGGGGAAUAUUGCACAAUGGGCGCAAGCCUGAUGCAGCCAUGCCGCGUGUAUGAAGAAGGCCUUAGGGUUGUAAAGUACUUUCAGCGGGGAGGCGUUACCCGCAGAAGAAGCACCGGCUAACUCCGUGCCAGCAGCCGCGGUAAUUC
rnacentral:rRNA from 1 species